rnacentral:rRNA from 1 species
UACGGGGGGGGGCAAGCGUUGUCCGGAUUUACUGGGUGUAAAGGGUGCGCAGGCGGACUUGUAAGUCAGGGGGUGAAAUCUCACAGCUCAACUGUGAAACUGCCUUUGAUACUGCAAGUCUUGGAUCCAGAAGAGAGUUGUGGAAUUCCGAGUGUAGCAGUGAAAUGUGUAGAUAUUCGGAAGAACACCAGUGGCGAAGGCAGCAACUUGGUCUGGUAUCGACGCUCAGGCACGAAAGCAUGGGGAUCAAACAGGAUUAGAAAACCCCUGAGU